rnacentral:rRNA from 1 species
UACGGAGGGUGCAAGCGUUAUCCGGAUUCACUGGGUUUAAAGGGUGCGUAGGCGGACAGGUAAGUCAGUGGUGAAAUCUCCGAGCUUAACUCGGAAACUGCCGUUGAUACUAUUUGUCUUGAAUAUUGUGGAGGUAAGCGGAAUAUGUCAUGUAGCGGUGAAAUGCUUAGAUAUGACAUAGAACACCAAUUGCGAAGGCAGCUUACUACACAAUCAUUGACGCUGAGGCACGAAAGCGUGGGGAUCAAACAGG